rnacentral:tRNA from 1 species
GGCUCCUUGGUCAAGCGGUUAAGACACCGCCCUUUCACGGCGGUAACACGGGUUCAAGUCCCGUAGGAGUCA